GCGGUAACAGCUCAAAUUUGAAAUCUGGCCCUUUCAGGGUCCGAGUUGUAAUUUGUAGAAGAUGCUUCGGGUGUGGCUCCGGUCUAAGUCCCUUGGAACAGGGCGUCAUAGAGGGUGAGAAUCCCGUAUGUGACUGGCUGCCUCCGCCCAUGUGAAGCUCUUUCGACGAGUCGAGUUGUUUGGGAAUGCAGCUCAAAACGGGUGGUAAAUUUCAUCUAAAGCUAAAUAUUGGCCAGAGACCGAUAGCGCACAAGUAGAGUGAUCGAAAGAUGAAAAGCACUUUGGAAAGAGAGUUAAACAGUACGUGAAAUUGUUGAAAGGGAAGCGCUUGCAAUCAGACUUGCGCGCUGUUGAUCAUCGGAGGUUCUCCCCCGUGCACUCGGCAGCGCUCAGGCCAGCAUCGGUUUGGGUGGUUAGAUAAAGGCCUUGGGAAUGUAGCUUCUUUCGGGGAGUGUUAUAGCCCUCGGUGCAAUGUAGCCUACCCGGACCGAGGACCGCGCUUCGGCUAGGAUGCUGGCGUAAUGGUUGUAAGCGWCCCGUCUUGAAACACGGACCAAGGAGUCUAACAUCUAUGCGAGUAUUUGGGUGUCAAACCCAUAUGCGUAAUGAAAGUGAACGGAGGUGAGAACCCUUAAGGGUGCAUCAUCGACCGGUCCUGAAGUCUUCGGAUGGAUCUGAGUAAGAGCAUAGCUGUUGGGACCCGAAAGAUGGUGAACUAUGCCUGAAUAGGGUGAAGCCAGAGGAAACUCUGGUGGAGGCUCGCAGCGGUUCUGACGUGCAAAUCGAUCGUCAAAUUUGGGUAU
rnacentral:rRNA from 1 species